rnacentral:lncRNA from 1 species
GGAUGCUGAUCCAAAAUGGAGAGUGGGGAGGUAUGGGAAAAAUGGAGAAACUUUGGGCAAAGGGGAGGGAGUUGUGGGGAAGGUGCAUGGGGGCAGUAAAGAUGUUGGAAUGAGGUGGACAUCAUUACCCUAGGUGCAUGUAAGACUGCACAUAGGGUGUGACGCUACAUUGUGUACAACCAGAGAAAUGAAAAGUUGUGCUGUAAUUGUGUACAAUGAGUCAAAAUGCAUUUAGCUGACAUAUAUACCUAAGCAAAAUGAAUACAUUUUUAAAAAUAAAUAAUAAUAAUAAUAAUAAAAGUUAGACCCACAAAAUGCAGACUCUCUGUACAAAGGUCAGCCUCCUGUCUCCAGGGGAGGUCUAAGGAUUUCCCAGAGAGGGAAACCUCUACUCAGGGGAAAGGGGUUCUUGACAAACAUUGCAGAGGUGAAAUUAAGGAUGUGUCAGUUAGAGGCAAGGAAAUUUAUUUGGGAAAGCAAGGAAUAUCCUUUGGGUGAGAUUUGCAGCCCGCUUGAGAGUGAGAGAGUUUGGGGGUCUGGGCUCUUCUUUUAAAGGAAACGUGGUGAGGGGUGAGCAUAGGAAGGUAGGUGGGGAGGACAUCAGCCUGGUGAUCAAAGACAGUUCACAGAGUCUGGUCUCCUUUCUCCUAGGCUGGCGUGGCCUCCGUUAUCUGAUCAGUAGAGGACAUUGGUAAGUACCCCAGAGCAUAGCUGUCCUAAAAUAUCACAUCUCUCUUUGCUUGAUCAACUCAUUACAUGGGCUGAUUAGCAGUGCACAAGGUAAUUUUCAUAAGAGGGUGAACUUACGGUAACUCUAAGGCUUACUGAUUGGGCAGAAGUUUGUGAGUGACAGGCUGGGGAGAAACGGCUUAGGAGUGAAGGUCUGAGGACCUUUAACACGGGGCUUUAGAUCACAGUCCCAUUUCCUUGUCCUUCCUCGGGUCUCCACCAAUCUUCUCUAUUUCUUCUGUCCCCACUUGGGUCAAGCCUCUUCGGGAAUUGGUUGGUGGUUCUCGGUCCCUCCUGGCUAUGUGGCUUUGGUCCCGGACUCCGUGUCAGUGACGAUCAGGUUUCCUCGGGCCUGAUUCCAACUGGACUUUAUUGUGCUAGCUGUUGUUAGUGCAAGCCGACACCUCGUGUUAAAUACACACAAUUUGUUCCUGGUUCACUUCACACAUGCUUUACUAAGGGAACUGGUGAGUGGCGAUUCCCAUCCAGGAAAGGCCUACGGUGAUGACGGCUUCUCACUGUCGACACGUGAGCUGGUGAUGAGAAGACUAGGCCCGCGUGGAGGUAGCCUGUCCAGCCCCUGUAAUCAGAGCGCCUCCACCUUCCUUUAAGUCCCAACCUGUCAUCCGCCUGGCAGUGUGUAGCCGGCUGGCUGGUGUUAACCCACUUCUCCUGUCUCUGUCUCAUUGUGCGAUUCUGCAUCAGCUCCUGGGUAACCUGCCAGGCCAGAAAUGAGGUGUCUGUGAGCACGCAUCCUCUCUGCACCCGAUGGCCAAGCACAUGUGACGCGGUAGGUUGAGUCUGAACCCAAUACUAUAAAAGCCCCUUUUGCAAUAUUUAAGAUAGAAUAUGAUAGACAUUUAUGACAAUCACCUUGAAUGAUUUCAAAGCUCAAUUGGGGGGUGAAAAUAGUGAAUGAGUCGACAGCUUCCCUUUGUAUUUUAGCGACGGGUCCUUGGUUGGUGAUCAACCACAUGUUGUACUGGGAAUCUGUCCUUUUAGAGUAGCGGUAUUACUGGAAGGGACUUGUGCUUGAUUCUAGCUGCUGGAUGAAGGUACUGUCCUUCAUCACCUAGAUUCAUCAGCCUGUCAAGGAACCCUCACCUCUCUGACAGUUCCUGCCAUGACAUUUCAAUUCCCACUGUCCCUGGCUCAGAAUAUGGCCUCUGGCAGAGCCCAAUGGCACACUUGUUGUUUCCCCCCUUUUGGUCAUUUAGUGAUAUCACUAGGCAGCCACUUCGGGGUUUGUAACACCCUGAAUGCUUCCCCAUGAAUCCCUGUAGUCUCCACCUCUGAUGGCCACACAGGAAUGUCACUAGAAUGCUGAUUCGGUGUCAUUAUCCUUACUUCUACCAGGCAUAAAUGCAGGAGAGCUCAGAGAAGUCUCAGGAUACAUCUUAGGUGCUUCCUAUUAGCAAGGGAACUGAGCAAACAACUAGGUUCUCACUUUGGAAGCCUUCCCAUUGCAAAAUGGUACCCUUUUGCCAAAUAUUCUAGUUAUUGUGGAAAAAGUGAGCAAUGCAAAUUGGCUGGAUGAUGUCAAUGGAAAGACCUCAGCCGAGUUGCUGUAAAUUCAACAGCACUUCACACUGGAGAAGUGUGAGAGUAGAAAGGGGGUGUCACGACUCCUGGUCUCAGCUGGGACCCCAUCUUCCUUGGCAGGCUGGGUGCUCAUCAAUGGGGCUUUGCCUGGAGGAGCCUCAACAGUGUAACAGAUGACCAGGUGGAACAGAAGGGGACGCUGCCCCUGGACCUCUUGUCCCCCAUCAUGCUCAUGACAUCCAGAGCCCUUGGCAGCCUCUGGAGGAUCCACACAGAACAAAGUCACCCAACACUUGGGUCCUUGGCUUUGGGACAUGCCCUCACAGACUGGACAUGGAGGGACUGGAAUCCUUUACCCACUCAUUAAGAAACAUUCCUGGGCUAUUUUACCCUCAUGUACUUAUUCUGGAUCACGUGCUGGAGAAUACUUUCUGUCUCUGUCACCCAUUCCUUUCCACUGGCUUUGGUUUGCCGUCGGGUUCAGCCCAGCGGGAACUGAGUGAUGACUUGCUCUUCCUCCACGUACUUUCUUGGGGAACUUAUGGUAAUCACUGAACACUUGCCUCACCUCACUUCCCUUCCGAAAUCUCUGUGCACUUAGUAGGCACCAGUGAUUCGGAGUGCAGUGCUGUGGUUUAUUAGUCACCCUGUCGGACAUGCACUCCAACAAGGGUGCUUGGAUUAUCAAUGUAGACUCCUUGCAAUCUCCUGGGCAAACAUCGUUUUGUUUUUCAAAUUGCUUUACAGUAUAUCUCAUCUUACGAGUCCACUCUUAUUUUACGGUAUGGAGAGCAAGAGAGAAACUGGACCUGAAACAUAAUACUUGCUUCAGGCCACUGACUCAUCUACCCUUUCUUUCCGGCAAGGAGAGGAGUUUGGUGGGCCAGGGAAGGAGGAACGCAGAUUUAGACUCAGAGAGCCUUGGGUUCAAGUUCUGGAUCUGCAACUUCAGACCUGCAGCGAGACCCUUGGCUUCUUGUGAUGGUUUUUGCACUAGUGAAACUAAAGGAAAUGAGUUCACCUCCCAGGCUUCCUGUGCAGCUGGGACAGGGGGCAGGGGGACUCUGGGUGCCCUGCAGUGGGGCUCCACGGUGAAGGUGGUCACACUCUAGUCCUUCUUGCCAAAAGUGUGCUCAGCCAGCAAGGCAGGUUGCUCACUGUAUUUGACCCAAACUCACAUCCAGAAAUGACCUUAUGCAAGUACCCGGGGGCUCCUUUCUUCCUCUGUUUGAAUUAUGGGACCAAGAAGGUGUGCACUCAAGCCCCAUCAGCACCUGCUGGGUUUUCAACUGUCUGGUUCACGUGCAGAGACCCCGAGCUGCCUUGAGACACCUUCAAGGAUUCGCAUCCCUUGCAAGAGCUGCUGCUGCUCCCAGGGACAGCUGUGCAGGUCCCAUGCAUGGUUUUCUGAAUCUUUCUUUUCAAAUUCCUUGAGGGGUCGAAUAGUUUAGAUUACUAGAAUACAUAGAAUUUCAUCAGCUUGUCCCUAGGAAAUUGAGUUUUAUCAUGCCAAUUUUUCUGAAGUGCCUUUCAUUGUGGUGAUAAGUUACUUAAUAAUAACUUACUGUAAUUGGAUGUGUGUAUUCCCGGCAAUCAAGUGGGAGGGUCUGUCUCCUAUCUUGAUUAUAGAAACUUAAAUAAUGUUUGGCGCUGCUUGGACAGCCCUUCUGCUCCUGACCCGAUGAUGGAGCGCUGCCUGUCGACGGCCAGCCAAUGCCAGGUGCAGCCGGGUGCCGAGCAUGGGAGUGUGGAGAUGAGAGAUAAGGGGAGGCGUGUGGGUGCUGCUCGCUGUCCUGCUGAUGCCUGCGGUCACCAGCAGGGAGUGGAGGGUGAGAACUUCCACUCGUAUGAUAGGAAUUCACUCUGCAGGGCCAACAGAGCCUGGGUCUGGAAGCAUGACGCUUGACCUUUCACGGGGUCAGAAUGUGAGUUAAGAGACAGCCUGCGUCAGCCAGGCACUUUCUGAUGUUUGCAGGGUGUUGGGUUUCCUCCUCAGACUCAGAGAGUGGAGUCGGCUGAAAGCUCCUCUUCUGAGUGGCACACUCUGUACCAUGCACGUGUUUACAGGGAACAGGUACUUUCUGACUCGGCAUGAAAUGAAGGUGUCAGCAGUAACCCCAAUCUUUCUUCCUCUGGCUACCUCUACAGGUGGCCCUGAAGAACACAGGCAUGCAGAAUGACAGAGACGUCUUUGACUCCAGUGUUCUACUUCAUCUGUCUGUCCAUCCCUCAUCCUUCCAUCCAUCACUUCCUAGUGCAUUAUCUGGCUUUGCCUUCCUCUUAAAAUUGUAGCUGAGCAUAACUUCCAAUAUUAAAAGUUUCCUGUCAGAAGGGCUAAGUAACGAGGUCCUCAAACACACGUUGAUUCUGUUGUGAAGAGCAAAACUCAGAUGUUCGAUCUGAGAUGGGACUGGUAUUACUAUUCUCACAAACAGAUAAUACAUGUCUGUUAUGUACACACACACACACACACACACACAUGCACAAACACACGCACGUACCCGCUAGCAAGUAUUGUGAUAACAUAGGACAACUUCAAUAAAACAUAAUUUACUUCCCAAAUGGUCUGUUGAAAUUGGAGGUUUUUAAAUAUAUUUUUAUCUUUAAAUUAAAAUCAAGCAUUGGAGGCAGUCACAUUUUAUCUCUGUGCUUAACAACACUGAUUUAAAAAAUGUUCCAGCCAUGCCUCUGUAGCUGGUUUCCUGGCUUUUAAGAGGAUGUUAGAGAAGACAGCAAUGCCCAUAUUCCUUACAUGAACUGCCAAGAACCAAUGGGAAAUCCCAGAAGGUAGGAUGCUCCCGAAAUUUUUGGCCUGCUUUCUGCAGAAGUUCAUCUUUGUUGCGGGUCCACAGUAACCGAAUCUUCUGGAUCUUGUUGCAUUUGGCAAUGUGCCCAAAAAACACUAGUGAGCUUACAGCUUCCAGAAAAAUCCAGACUGGAUGAGCAAGCUUGAUUUUUCUUCUUGAGUCAUUAUCCCAUACAACAAACAAGACUCCUGUCCAAAAACACAGCUGCCUAAGGUCCUGAUCGCGACAGCCGCCAUCUGUUGAAGGUUCACUAUGGGUCAUGAAUCUGACUGAAGUGCUUUAUGUCUACCAAUUGGCUUAAUUAUUAAAUUUUUCAUGUUUUCUAAUAUAUAACUGUAACAAAGCAGAGUCUGUGACCUCAGUGUUAUUCUUCUCAGUUCAUAGAAGAUUAAACCAUGUCUUAAAUUAAGUCACUUUCCCAAGGUCAAAUCCUGAUGGAAGGGCAGAGAAUCAAAUCCUGUUCUCUCUUCCAAGUGGAUGCCCUGAUCACUGCGUCACGGUCACCUGUGCACUCAGUUUAGUGGUCAUCUCAGCAUCAAGGCACUGCUAGAACUGCCUACACUAUGGGGAGAACUAAGUGGCCAUCCAUGGCCGCAGGCAGUUGUAAAACACCUUUCAUCUUUUUCUUUCUUUCUCACUGUGUACAAAUGGAGUCAUUUAUAAGAUGAUCUAAUGACUUGGUUUCACAGAGCUCUAUGGGGGACGUUCCUGGGUGAAGAGACAGGGUGUUGGGCAGCUGGUGCCCUUCCUUACUUCUUUCCAGGAGUAUUUUUAACAUCGUGAUGUUAUCUGCAGAGCAGGGCUUCCCGGCCCCGACAACUGCAUGUUGAAAUCACAGGAGAGACUCUUAGUUGCCCGAGUGGGGCCCCAACAUGGAUCCUGUUUUUAAGACCCUGGGAUGAUUGGAAUGAAGGCAGGUUGGGAACCAGGAGGCAGAUCCCCAGAGUGGACGCUGGAAGCAGACCAGGCUGAGGAGCUUGGGGUCAGAGUCCAGUCCCAGCGGCUCUCGCUUCCUGCUGAGCUCUUCUCCCGGCCUUGUUUUGGGCCACUGUGAUGACGGUGCCUAUAGAAACCUGCUGGGGUCCUGGCUGGACCUCUUCCUGCAGAUCUGGAUGAGUCACCGACUCUGUAAAGAGCCUUUGAGACCAACAGUGCCCCUGUGGUCCUCAGGAUGUGUCUGACUCCCUGAGCUGGCCCUCUGGUCUGAACACAACCCACAAUCUAGUUACUCAGAUUACUUCUUAUUAAGAGGAAAAAAAGAUUGUUCUUGGUCCAGAGUACCUACUGGCAGCCAUUAGUUCUACAAAGUAAAUACCUCAAAAGUCGCAACAGAGCGAACCACCCUGUCUCAUUAGCCACUGAUGCUACUGCCCCCAGGGCCUGGGCUGGGACAGUUUUCCAGGGGUCAGAAGGAGAUGGUUCCCUUCCUCUCCUUACCUGGGCCGCUUUGAACUAUGGGGCAUGCGGGGAGUGGGUGCAACCAGGGAUAGUCAUCUUUUUCUACUGCCAGGACUCAGGUCUGUGUAGAUGGAGCAGUGGAGGCUAAAGGGACUCUCUGAGCUUGCCCUCUGGCAGGGAGGUUAUGGCCAGUUCUUCUAGGGCUCAUCCAGGUCAGACAGAAGCAGUGCUUGGCUGGAAUAGAAGGUGUGUCUUUGCGGAAACUUGUUGGGUAACACAUGAGGAAGGGCACGUGCCAUAGGUCUGCAUCCUCGGGUCCUGCUGGGCUUGGGUUUCUGAGCUGGGGCUGGAACGUGCUGUCUCUCCUGGCCCCCCUGCCGUUAAGGGCCUGAAGUCCACCCUUGGGUCCUGACUCCCACACAAGGGUUACUUGCUGUGGGGCCGGGGGAGGAUGAAGGCGGUGCAGUCUGGUUUCCAUUACAUAUUGAUCCCUCCUCAAAACACACCUCCUCUCCUGCAAUCCCUUCUUCUCCUUUUCCAGAAUCUGGUGGGUGAGAAACCAGUUUAACCACAACGAUCUCACUGAGCCGCCGCUUGGCACUAGAAACUUCGUCUCAGGUUUAGUUUAUGUAAACAAGAUGGUCACCAAGAUGCGAUGCUAUUUUUAAAAUGAAGAAAAAAGAGGGGGAAAAAGUGCCGGGUACUUGUGCUAAGUGGGCAGGGCUUUAUCUAAUCUGAAAUGAAAUGAAUAAAUGAAUACCUAAGAUCAACAGUCACUUAGCAAACCUCUGUCCAAGUCACAGUGGCCAAAGACAGACAUGAAACUGAACCUCAGUCUGUUUUUAGGAAAUGGUCAUUUUAGGGCAAUAACAGUCUAAUACAGGGCCUCAGAUGAUAGCCCCCUGCUCAAAUGAAGCUGGACUCCUUAUUAUUUCUUUUUUUGUGACGUUUCAUUGCAACACAACCACAUCCAUUUGUUUGCGAAUUAUUGAAGGCUACUUUCCUACUAAGAUGGCAGAGUUGUAUGGUUGCAGCAGAAAAAUGACAGCAAGAACAGUAUGAAAAUAUAUACUAUCUGGCUUUUUUAAAAGGCAGAUAUAGCAGAUCAAAGAUUAUAAACCUUGAAAUCUUUUUCUUUUCUUUCUUUCUUUCUUUUUUUAAGCUGGGGAUUGAACCCCAGGCUUCAUGCAUGCCAAGCAAGUGACUUACCCCUGAGCUACAUCCCCAGACCUAAAAUGUACCAUUUGAAGCAACCUCCCUAACCUCAGUGAGUAGGAUUCUGAAGGAGGCAGAAGUGGGUACACAGCAGGCAGAGAGGAGCUGAUCGGAUUCUACCAUUGGCUUCUUCCUGUACAUGGCACAUCUGGCUUAGCUAUGUUUUUUUAAAAUAAAUAACUGUCCAACUUUAAUUGAGCAUCCCCUGUGGGCCAGGCACUCUUCCAUACGUAACGGAGAUGACAGUGGGCAAAGAACCCAUUGCCCAGUUGAAUAUUCAUCUUCUCUUAACCUGGAUCUUCUAAGCAAGUGUUAAAUAUAUACUUUGUCUGAAAAGGGCAAUACAGGGGUGGGGGGACACACAGAGUGGACGAUAGUGAUGGGAAGUGGGAAGGUGUGGCUGAUGAGGCCACCAGGGACCUGUAGGGAUGGGGGCAUUGGCCAAGCAGAUGAACAGAAAGGGCCUCAGUGGGACAGGUCUCAACAAGGGUCAGUGUUGGGAAGGAGUUGGCAGAGCCAUAGGGCAAGGGCUUGAAGCAAGAGAUCUUGUGGGGCUUGAAGAACCAAAGAAUUUGAAAUAAAGCCACUUGUGGCAUCUUCAGUGGUCCCCAUGUUGAGUGAAGCCCUACCUUUUAAACUCCUUGCCCCCACGUGUCUAUUGGUUUGUCCUUAGAGAGUACUGCUGCAGACAGGGACGUGCUGAGGGGCAGGGUGUGGUGUUUCCACAGCUUCCUCCAUGUGAAAGCCUGGCUCACGGCAACCCUAGGUCAUUAUCAAUGUGGCAGAAGCCAGCAGCAAAGUGACAGCGAGAACAGUAUGCAUUUGGCAUCAACUUCCACUUGACUUGGGAAGAGUGUAACAGUCACAUUUCUGGUUCCCUAAUGACAUUUUCUUCUUGAGUAAAUAACCAGGAGCCACUGAGUAAAGUGCACCAUUCAAGCCUCACCUGCACGAAACAGUGGCCCAUGAACACGCGUGAGCUAGAGGGGACCAAGCCCGGAGGCGCCAGGAGCUCUAGGUGCUCACUGGCCUCCCACAGGUCAUCUUGCUUGGACAGAAGAAAGCAGUUUAUCACACACGGACCCUGAACACCUGUGUGCAUUGAAAAGUGGUGUCAUAGGUCGCAGGUAGAAAUCCCCCAUCACUUUGAUGGAACAUUUGCCAAGAUUUCUUCAGGGAGUUGCUUCAGCACAUCAUUGUAAUGACUUGGGUAGCUGAGGGCUGGGGCUGGGAGGCCAAGUUCAUGUACAGAAGAUGGACAUUCUACUGAGCUGCCCAAGACCUCUGCGCUCACCAGCAGACUGGAGGUGUCUGGCAGACCACAUCCAAAGACGUGGGCUCACCCUGCCCACUGGUGGUUUGAACUCCGAAACCCCAACCUUUGCUGAGACUUCUGGAACAAAGCCACACAGCACAUGGGAAGGUGACCAGGGUGCUUUGCACUUGGGGAAACUGCAAACCUGAAAACUCUCAGCAAGAAAAACAUGUCUUACCAAAGUGCAAACCAGACCCUUGGCAUCCACUCUCUGUGACGCAGGGCUCCCCGGCUGGCAGGAAACCACAGUAAAGAACUGAUUAUGCUGCGAGAACACAUUCCACGGGCCGUCCAAGGCUAUUUUUAUUUUACAAUAAGGUACAAUAUGUUCCAUGAUGUUCUCUAUCCUGACAUAUUUUUUUUCUGGUAUCUACAUACUCAUUAAUUUUGGUAAAUCACAGAGAAUCUGCAAUUAAUUUAAACAAAUGCACCAGAUUGGAGAGCGUUGAUUAAUUUCAACAGCAACAAUAAUACACAUGUGUAAUUUUUAUUGCAAUCAGAACACCCAUGGCUGCUACCCUAGGUUGACUAUGAAGGCUGCUUAUGGAGAGGUCAUUGCAAGAAACUGAGUCUCAGGAAAACAGAGUUUUACAGACCAAAUACCAGAGUAUGAUGUUCACUAGCAAAAUGAAUGUAUUUUUAAAUCUCUCUCUUUUAAAAAAACUUUGUAAAGAGAAUUCUAUCUUAAAAGUAGUGUUUGGUCAAGUGUUACUUGGUCAAAAUGACUAAAUCCACCUCAUAGAGUGUUCCAGGAACCUUACCCAUAAGAAAAUAAAUGCUUCUGUUUUAACUUAGACUCCAUAAAAAUUAAAAUUGUUUUGGAAGAAGGAAUGGCUUCCCUGUAACAUGAUGGAUAUUCAACAGCUCAGAUGGAUUUGGCGGGCAGCAUCCAUCCACCUCGAAAAGGAAAACAGAAAACAGGGGUAAGAUGACUCCUGAGGCCCAGACCAUGCGCUCUUACCCAAGUUCAAGAAAAACUUCCUAGCUAAUGCUUAACUUGUUAUCACAACCCCUUUUGAUUUUCCAGAACUUCCUAGCUAUUUUUUAACCAUUUCCAAUCAGAAAAAUGUGACAGAUGGCAUUCAAAGCCAGCCACGAGGUCUCCAAGCCCUCGACUUGAUGAACUUGGCAAAUUCCUCCUUGUUUUUAUCCUUUGCAGACUUUGAAAAGUCUAGAGGUCAAAAGGGGUUUAGCCAUCUGUAACGUCACGCCACGGUCAAAGUCUACGUUUCUGGAUGGUCAUUUCAAAAGAAGAAAAUAAGAGAUGGGAAAUCGGUCAUCAGUGUAACAAACAGGCAGGUCCUGCGAGAAACAGAGGUGGCGGGGGCAGGCAGACAGGACACACACUCCCAGGUUAAAAAAAAAAAAAAGUCACAUUAUCAAUGAAAAGGAGAAGGAGUAGGCUGUGCACCCCAAACGACAAGACCUUUAAGGAACCCUAGUCAAAAUAUUUCUCAUUUAUGCAAAUUUACACCUCAUAAGAAAACAUAAAUAAACCAUGAUUCUUGUCCUAAUUUUUUAACAUCAACUUUGCUGACAAGAUCAGGAAACCCUGGCCAAACAUCUGCAUCAAAUGAUAAAUUCACAGCAAAAAUGUCCUUUUUCCACUGCAGGGCAGUCGCAGCACGCAGAUGGCAGGAACGCCCUCUGUUUUUACUUGGCGCAGGGGAGAGGGUCCAAGCCGAUGUCCCCACUGAAGUGGUAGCACGUUCUUUGUACCCAGAUUUAUUUUUUAAGAUAAGGCCGGAGCCUGGGCCUUUCUCGGUCUUCAGCGUGCCCCUGGGCCUGCAGCAAUCUCGCACCUCUAGAUGGUACCUUGUUCGUUUUUUUAACUGUUAUUUUUAUUUAGCUUUUAUAGAGUACCAAAAAUGUGGUUGAAAUUAGUACCUUUUCCUCCUUUCCAGCUACAAUGGAAAGUUUUGUUUAAGCUCUCCAGAAAAAAAAAAAGAGUGUGGGGGGAAUAAUGGGGGAAAAUAAAUCCGAAUCCUAGAAGAGGCUUUCAGGCUCCUGUUUUCAGGUUCUGUGCCACGGAGUCCUCUGGGCUGCUAGCGGGUGCUCCUCCGGGAGCCAGGAUGCCUUCGUGGAGGGCCCUCGUUAUAGGAUUUGUGUCCUUUCUGGCUAGGUGGCUUUGUGACCUUGGACUGGUCACACAACAGCAUCCUGGGAACUGAGUGAUGAUUGCAGACAUCAAAGUUGUGAUAUCAAUGUCCAAAGAAGUCUCUGGGUGAGUCCCUAGAGGUAAGUGUGGAUAAGUCCCCAGAUCCACUGGCUCCCCAAAUAGUACAAACACGAACAGCUGGCUCCAAAGGCUCCUCCUGCAGCUCCGGGCAGACAAGUCCUCCUCCCUCCUCUGGGAGUGAGCUGAUGACCAGCUUCCAUGGCCCAGAGGAAGAGGCUCAUCUCUGCAGAUGGACUUGGCCCAGAAACCGCAGGCCUUUAUGGCCACCUUGCACAUCCACUGGCAUGCCUUUGACUUAUAGAUCUUCCCAAGUGGCUUGGUUCCCCACUGCAGGACCAUUUGUAAGCAGAGAGUUACAUCCUCCUGAGUAAGAGAAAGGGGAAAGACCCAGAGAGAGGAGGCCGCUUCCCUGUGUCCUCUUUCCACAGCAGGGCCUGGGCAGAGUGUUCUGGAAAACACUUUAUCACAUCGUUCUCACUUCUUUUUUUCCUCCUCUCUUUUCCUUUUACUGGGGAAAGUUUCUCCCCCUAUGAAGAGUCUUUCAGGGGUUCCUCCUGGGGUUUAAAACAUGAUAGUCUCCAGCCUGGAAGUCAGAAUUGGCUGUUUCUUUUUAUGAUUGUGCACUCCUUCCGUCUCUCCAGCUAACAAAAGGAUGCACCGUGUGAUCGGGCUUUAGGGUGCCUGUGUGGCAUGCUUGCCUUUGCCACCGGAUAGAUGCUCCAGGUCCUGCUGUGGCCCAAGGGCAUCUCUCAGGUCCCUCCUCAUUGCUUUGGAAAGGGCCAUGAGACGGUGGCUCCCAGGACCUGGCCAUGGAUGGAAAAUGGGCCUGGAUCCCUACAUCUCCUAAGGAACCAGGACCCAGCAAGGACGUGCUGUUGGGUGGGUGAGGCUGCUGCUGCUGCCUGCUCAGCCAGCCUCAUCCUCAACUCUUUCUGUGCCAACAGUCCUCCCUCGGGGCAGUGCAGGCCUUGAGGUUCAAGCAGAACAGCAUGGAGAUGAGAUGGUGUAGGAGAGUCUGACCCCUUGUAGACGUCGACAGUUUCCAAGCCCACCACUCUGCCUUCUGCUUUUGCCCAACAUCCAGGGAACUGGUGAGAAGGCCAGGUGCUCCCUCCAUUGGAACUGAAGGCACGUUGGGCCCCAGCAGGCCCUGCCCAGGUGCGGGAGCCCUCUCUCUGCCUCAUCUCCAUCUGCAGUGAAUGCCAGGCAGCCACUUGACCCUAUCAUCAAGCUAUUUUCAAACUGUCUCCGAGUCUGCCCUGCCCUCUCUCGAAACCCUCUCCGUGUGAGUAAUGGCUUCCUACUCCUGGUGGACACAUGUGGUGCAUCAGCCACAACAGGUGAACCCAGCUUUGGCUGAGGGCUUGUCCUGCCUCUGUGGUUCUGUCUUGGACAUGACCCGUUUGUCCAUCGUCCUUUCCCUUCUUCCUGCCAGUGAUGGACUGACCAGCCUCUUCACAAGGAGCAAGAGCUGGUGCUACCGGUGACCGAGCAGAAAGUCAAGAGGAGCCUGGGGCCUGAUGUCCUGGUGAGUUACCCUCCCCUGCCCAGACUGCCUGAUUCUGGGCCUCUCCAGCCAUGGCAGACAAGCUGAUUUUGUUCAUCCACCUGUCCUGAAGGUAGUUCCAAACACAGGCUUUACAACGCAAUCAUUUCAUGACCUUAGGAGUAAAAAUGGGUAUUUUUCCUGGAACAGUGAAGAGGAGAAAAGCACAUUUCUCCCCCACCUAGGACUAAGCCAUCCCCUGUGGAAGGAAGGACCUCGUAACUAAGGACAGUCACUGGAAAUCACUUUUGAGGAAGCAAGGCUGCAUAAACUGACAGGGACCCUUCCUCAUGGGUUGGAAAUGGUCUGAAAAUAUGCGUCCUAGUCAGCUUUCUUUCACUAUCAUGAAAUACCUGAGAUGGUCAACUUACACGGAGGAAAGCGCCACAGUUUGGGGGAUUCUGGUCCAAGGUCUGGCAGACCCGUGGCAGUGGACCUCCAGUGGUUAUGCUGAGUGGCCAUGAAGUGAAUGAACAGUGAGGGACAGAAUGCUGCAGUUUGUAUGUUUAAUGUCCCCAAAGGUUCAUGUGUUAAAGUCUUUGUCCCCCAGGUACUGCUAUUGAGAGGUGGUAAACCUUCAGGAGGUGGAGCCUCGGGGGAGGUCCCUGGGUCAUUGCAGGGACAUCCUUGAAGGAGGCUGUGGGACCCUGGCCCCUUCCUCUAUCUCUUUGUGCUCCUUGGCUGAUGAGGUGAGUGGUUUUGCUCUGCCACGUGCCACCACCAUGAUGUGCUCUGCUUGAGCACAGGGAAGGUGAUCGGGCAACACACCUAACCUGCCUGAUAGGCAUCCUCUACCUGGAUGGCUCAGUCAUGAGUCACAGAACACCUCUCUGUUGCCAGCUGUGCAUCUGUUUACAUUCUUAGACUUGUCAAACUUAAGAUGCUGAACAAAUCCUAAAAUUAGGAAAUAUAAAACACUAUAAAAGGCAUUUGCUCAUUAUUUCCAAAUACCAUGUCUUUAUGCAUAAACCCAUAUUUUUUUGAGAGAUUUAUGUAGGCAUAAAGCAACUCUCUAGUCAUACCACUGGCAGGAUUCCAGUUGGUUCCCCCUAACCAUGGGAUAGCUGACAUUGGAAAAGUUGUGAUAGUUUCAAUGCAUCUUUGCCCUUCCAGAAAGUGACCCCAGAUGUAAAAUUGUCAUUAAGGACUUGGACUUAGUCCUGGGUGACUCUUUGAACAGAUAACAACGUCAUGAAGUCACUUAACUAUCAGUAUUAAAUCUUGCUAGAAACGAAGUUGUUUCUUUUUGAUCUACCAGGAACUCAGGGUAAUUAUUUUACCACACUAUAUACACUUUUUUACUAAUAAUUUAAUCUGUGCCUUAUAAUUUAUAAAAAUGUAGUAUCUUUGUCAAUGACAGACACAGGAGGUAGCAGAGAGAAAAGCCAUUGUGGAGUAAGGAGAUUAUACCAGAUUGUGGCCUAAUUAUACAAGGGGCUCAUGAAGAGAAUUAGAAAGGAUAAAUGAGAAAAUUAACACAAUAAGUUCUAUAAAUAUGCAUUAUCUCUCUGCUUCCUUAAAAGACAUAAAACUAUAUAAACUUUAUAUAUAACAAUAUAUUAUUAGGUUAGGUUUGUAGCAUAUUUAAAAACAGUGUAUACCAUAAUAUAAAAGGGAAGCUGAAAAUAUGCAGGAAACAUGUUUCUAUAUUUCACUGGUAUUAAUAUAAAUCUAAAGUCAAUUCUGACAAAUUAAGAUACAUUCUGAAGGCCUACAGCAAUCACUAAGAAUGAGAAUAUUUAUUAAAAAUCACUAAAGGGAUUAAUAUCACACUAAACAUAUGCAUUUAAUACAAUCCAAAAAUAAAGGAGGGGCACAGGAACAGAAUGUGACAUGCAACAGAGCAGGUAAAAUGGGAGACACAGAUGCAAACAAAUCAAUAAUAACAUUAGACACAAGUGGCUUAAGAGUGAAAUCAAAAGGCUGAAACUAUCAGAUCUGGUUUAAAAAGACCCAAGAAGAUCCAAGUACUUUCUAUCCACAAAAAGGCAAAAUGUAGAUUCAGAAGUAGAAAUAGGACAAAAGUCAAAGGAUGAAGAUGUUAAUCACAAGGGAACUGGAGUGGGUAUGCAAAUACCAGCAAAGUAGCCUUUAAAACAAAAUAACAUUAUUGGAGAAAAAGAGCCCAUGUAAUAAUGAGAAAAGGGUCUAUCUAUGAGAAAAACAUAGCAAUUAUCUAUACACUUAACAAGAAUGUCCCAAAAUACAUAAAGUAAAACUUGAAAGAAUUAAAGAAAGAAAUAGACAAUUCAAUAACAGUAGUGAGAACUUAAAACUUCACUUUCAAUAAUGUAUACAACAACUAAGAAGAAAACUAAACAAGAUAUAAGAUUUAAACAACAGAACAACAAAUUACAAACUACAGCUAACAAACAUCUAUAGACCACCUCACUGGACAAUAACAAACAUACUUUUUUUUUUUUUAACCAGGGACACAUUUUUCAGGAUAGUCCAUAUGUUAAGCAAGGAAACAAGCCUAAGUAAAAUUUAAACAGUCUGAAGUCAUGCAAAGUAUGUUCUAUGAACACAGUGGGUGAAAUUAGAAAUCAAUAAUAGAAUAAAAUGGUAAAAAUUCACAAAUAUGUAGAAAGGAAACUUCUUCUUCUUUUUUUUUUUUAGAGAGAGAGAGAGAAUUUUAGUAUUUAUUGUUUUAGUAUUUAUUGUUUGUAUGUGGUGCUGAGGAUCAAACCCGGGCCACAUGCAUGCCAGGUGAACGCGCUACCGCUUGAGCCACAUCCCCAGCCCAAAAGGAAACUUCUUAAAUCAUCAACAGGUGAAACAAGAAAUCACAAAGGAAAUUAGUAAAUCCUUUGAGAUGCAUUAAAAUAAAAAUACAACAUGCUGAAAUACGGUAUGCAGAUAAAGCAGUGCGUAGAGGAAAAUACAUAGCCAUAAAUACCUGCAUUAAAAAGAUUUCAAGGGCUGGGGUUGUGGCUCAGUAGUAAAGUGCUUGCCUCGCAUGUGUGAGGCACUGGGUUCGAUUCUCAGCACCACAUAUAAAUUAAUAAAUAAAUAAAGGUCCAUCAACAACUAAAAAAAAAAAAAAAACCUGGGCUACCUUUUAAAAAAAAAAGAUUUCAAAUCCACAACCCAAACUUUACCCUAAGACACUGGAAAAGUAAAUGUCAGCAUAAGGAAGUAAGAAAAAAAUUAGAGCACUAAUUAAUGAAGCAGAAAUUAGAAAAGCAUAUAAAAAAUCACUAAAAACAAAAUUAACCAAAUUUUAGCUCAACAGACUAAGCAAAUAAGAGAGAAGACUCAAAUUAUUCAAACCAAGAAUUAAAGAGGGAACAUCACUACUAACCUUACAGAAAUAAAAAGUACUAUAAGAAAAUAGUAUGAAAGGAUAAGGUCAUUGAUGAAAUGGAUAAAUUCCUAGCUAUAACUGACUCAAGAAGAAAGAGAAAAUUAAAAAUUUGAGUAAACCUCUAGCAAGCAGAAUGAUUGGAUUACUAGCUAAAAACUACCCCCAAAAGAUCUCAGGCCCAGAUGGCUUCACUAGUACAGUCUACUGAUUACUUACAGAAGAAUUAUUAGCAAUCUGUAAAUUAUUCUUUGAAAAAAUAUAUGUAUGUCCCAAAUGGGGAAAAUACACUAGAGAUAGAAAGAAGAUUGGUGGCUGCCCAGGGCAGGAGGGGUGGGCAGCCAGGGGCAAGACAGGAGCAGAAUGGCUCAGAGGUAUCAGGUUUCUUUUUGAGGUGAUGGAAAUGUAAAAUUGAUUGUGGUGAUGGCACAACUCUGUGAACAAACCAAAACCCACUGAAUCCCACACUUCCAAGGUGCAACUUGUCUGGCAAGUAAAUUGUACAUCCAAUGAAGGUGUUAAAAAUCUAAUUUCUCAAUGGGCACUGGAGGCUGAGACAGGAGGAUUGGGAGUUCAAAGCCAGCCUCAGCAAUGGUAAGACACUAAGCAAUUCAGUGAGAUUGUGUCUCUAAAUAAAAUACAAAAUAGGGCUGGGGAUGUGGCUCAGUGGUCGAGUGCCUCUGGGUUCAAUCCCUUGUAUCAGAAAAAAAAAAUUCCAAUUUCUCUAGAUUAUUCAUGUUGUGUGUGUUGUGGUACACUGGUAUUUUUAGAAAAAUAAUUUACUAGAGCAGCAUUUAUCCAUAUUGUCACAUUGAUAUGUUGGGCCCUAGUCCUUGCUUAUUGAGGAAGAUGGGAGCUGUCCCACAUGUUUCAGGAGUUCAGGGGCAUUCUGGGCCUCUGCCCACUGGAUUCCAGAAGCAUGUCCCCAGAGGCUGACAGGGAGGGGACGGGAUCUGAAGCCUUCAGCUCUCACUAAUUCUCCAUAGUUGUAGAAGUUAAACAUUCUCCCCUUUUUCUCACAACAGGCUGAAGAAUGGAUUACUGCUAUUACAGUCAGCUGGUGUCCUAGAGAUCAAGGGACCCCCGUUAGGAAAACAGUUGAGAUGUAAUCCUUCCUCUGCACAAGUUGGGACCUCAUCUAAGUCCCCAUUAUUACCAUCAUCCCUGGUAAAUGUCCAACAAAGUACACCUGGACCUCAAUUUCCUCAAGCAACACAUUCAUGGAUUUAACCAACCAUGAAUGAAACUGUUUUUUAAAAAAUGCAUGUGUACUAAACGUGUACAGAUGAUUUUCUUGUCACUAUUCCCUAGACAAUACAGUAUGACAACUAUUUAUACAGCACUUAUAUCAGAUAUUAGAUACAAUCUAGCAUUGAUUUUGAAGGACACUGUGGAAUGUGCCUAAGUUGUGUGCAAAUAUUGUGCCAUUUUAUGUAAGGACUUGAGCAUUUGCAGAAUUUGUAUCCAUUGGUGGUGGGGGAGCAGGGGGGCCUGGGGGCUGGGACCAGGAGGCCAAGGGACAAAUAGAUUAGAUUAGAUCCCCACACAUUCAGUACAAUAAUCCUAAAUAGAAAGUGUUUGGAGAAAUAAAAAUGCUUUCUCUGUUGCCAAUGUUGACUUGGUAAUAAUAGAAUGAAUAUCAUUGAUACUUAUGCACAGAAAGAAAAACCCAAAUAAGAUUUCAUAGAAAUUCAAGAACAAUGUUUGAUGAGAAUUUCGUUGUUUUUGGUUUCUUAGCCAUCAGGAUUUUAAUUUGUAUUGAAGAAGCUCAACAAAAACUCCAUCAAUUUGAAGAUGCAAACGUUGAUUGGCAAGGAAAGCCAGAGGGCACGUGCCUCACGCCACCGAGGUCCAGCACACAGGUGGGAAAAAAAAGGGACAGGUGGGGAAAACGAGGCACAGAGAACCCAGGAGGAACCCAAAGCAGAAUCGCAAAUCCUGGAAUGCGGCAGAAAGAUGGGCAGAUGGGACUCCACGGUGUUGGGUCAGACAGUGGUGAAGGAAAUGGACCACCUUCUUUCACAAAGGUCUGCAGCAAUGGGACAAGGGAAAGCAAGGAGAACACAGGCCCACGUCAAGGAGAAGUGCCCGGGUUUACCCAGCCUGAGCCGCAGACUCCGUCCUGGGCCUGGGCAGCGCUCACCGUGAUGCCCUCCCUCCAUAUCGAGACAGUGGGAUCCACAGGGAAAGUCCUUCCACAGCCCUGACUGAGCUCCCAGGCUGCAGGCAUGUCCAGCAGAGCCCUGGGAACGCUGUCUGAAGGUCAGGUGGGGGCAGCGGCUUGGGGUCUGCAGCCUGCCUCUCCAGGGCCAGCAGUUUCCAGCUCAGUGUCCCUCUGCUUCCUGGCCUUGCGCCAGGCUUAGUUUUCUCUGUCAACCCAUCCCACUCUGAGGCCUGAUGUCGAAGUCGUCCCACCCUGAGCCAAAUCCUUCCCAUCACCCCUCUUUCCUUUUCUGAUGACGGUCCAACAUGGGAGCAUUCCAACCGGCGGUUCUGACCUGUCCCUCCGUGGCUGGGUGUCCAGUGGGAUCUCAGGUGAGCAGCUCCAUUUGUCCAAGUCAAGGCAUCGAGACUGGGUUUGAAAGAUUGCUCUUCUCCACGACUUCCUUGCCUCACAGGGGACUUGUGCCAUCCUUGGGACGGCACCAGCUGUUUUAACAUGGCCCACAACAUUGGGAGACAUGAAGGUGGGGCUCUCACUCUCUCAAAGUGGGGGCUGCUGGCUCAGGGGCCAGGAGUUCCUCUUAAGAAAAGGAAAAAUCCAGGUAAUUCCGUGCAGUGGCAAAGCAGACUGGGAAUGAGUUUUGUUGUUUGUUUGGGGAGGGAACACUAGUUUUAUUCAGUGAAAUGGUGCUUUACCAUCAAGGAAAGACUACCUGGUGGAAUGUUCCAGAACAGGCAGACUUUUGACCCCCUCUGCUGCUUAUGACCUCUUGUUCUCUGCUGUCAAGAAAACCACUUUUUUUUUUCUUUUGAGGAAAUUGAACAAAAUUAAAUGGAACUGUGUGGGCAGACAACACCUCAGUGUGUUAUUGGGGACAGAUUAGGAUCUAUAGGCUUCCUGGACGACCUUGGAUUUCACACAGUUCAGACACUUCAACACAACCCUGCUUUAAGUGACGAAUGGCUUCCUGCAUGCAGGCCCUGCCCUGGACACUGGUUAGAGCCACACCAUCUGCUGGGCACUGGUAGAACCACAUUGGCUACUGCAAAACAUAAGACUGUUUUCCUGUGGUCCUCUCACAAGAAAAGUGAGGCCUCAGUAUUGGUGGGCAAAUUGAGAAAACAAAACACAUAUAACUUGUCAUUUAGAAAAUGGAGAAGGCCACCUGAUGUGUUACACUGAGUUUUCAGAAGAGAACAUAUUACACGUGUUAGCCCUCCAGCUCACCUUUAUGCUGAAUUUAAGAGAGUAUCCUUUGGGAUAUCAUAACAGCCUGGGUCAGAUGAUAAACAUCGACCUUCAAAUGUCAGGGCAGUGGCCAGAACUAUGGCAGCUUGAUUACCUGAAAAAGCUUCACACUGCAAAUAUUUAGAAAAGCUGCAUAGUAUUUUUUUUUUCCAAAAAUGCAUUGGUGAUUCUUUAUGGAAAUAUCAGAAACAUGUAACCCAAUGCGGAGGCAGGUAGGGGUGAAGUGGAUUUUGGUUUAAAAAAUAUGAAAGUCUAAUUUUCAUGGCCCAUAAGAGAUAAGAAUUGAGAUCUUGGAGCUACAUAAAUAAGAGUGGGAACUGAGGGUCUCUGAUUGGGGUAUGACUCUGUGAAGAUAGGAUCAGGAAAUUACCUGGGCAGCAGAACAGGAUUAUAAGGAAGUCAGUCUCUUUGUGCCUGAAUUCAGGUAUGAAGAGAGAAAUCUCCCCCAAAUUCAUAAUACAGCCCUUUCCUAAGCACAGGAUCCUGGCUCAAAUUCUCACUUCCCACUCUGCCCUGGAAUUCCUUGGAUAAGAAAUGAGUAUACUAAUUGUUCCAUACCUGUGUGUCCCUUUGGAAUUUGAGAAAAGCAGAGAUAAAAUCUCUUUUGAGAAACACUCUCAUAACAGAGCACAUGGGAAAAAAAGUAAAUCUCAAUAUUAAAAAUUAAAAUAUAUGAGGAUGAAAUAUCCUGCACUCAAAGGUCAGCAGGCACAACAUGCGUAGCAGUGUUAAAACCAGAGUAACCCGGGAUAAAUAAAUAACAGUCUGAAAGAGAAUAUAAAGUAAGUGUGUUUAAAAUGAUUCCAGUUAUAGGCUAAAAAAUAGAUACUAGUAAAAAGGAAUAAAAUAAACAGAUUGUAAAAGAAUAAGCUAAAUCUUUGAGAAAUAAAAUGUAAUCAUUGAAAUUAAAAAUCUCAAUUGGCAGAUAAGCAAAGAAGUGAUAUGGUUGGAGAGAAGAUUAGUGAUCUGGAAGAUACAUAUAAGGAAGAAUACUUAGAACAUAGAGAAAAAAAUGUAAUAUAUGAUAUACAACUUUCAUGUGUUUUUAUAGAGUAUUAUAGAAAGGAAAUAGAAAAAAAAUAGGGAAGAGUAAACAUUCAAAUAAAUGAUUGCUGAGAAUUCUCCAGUACUCUUCAAGGACAGAUCCAAGAAAUAUACUGAGUCCUAAACAGGAAAACCACACGUGGGCACAUUGAAGUGAAUCUACAGAAUGCUAAACCAAAGAUAAAAUAGUAAAAAGCACCAGAGAGAAAAGCAGAACAACUACAAAGGAACAGCAAAUUAUGUAGUACAGAUUUCUUAAAAAAUAAUAAUCAGGAAAUGGUGAAAUAAUGUAGUUAAAAUACGCAGAGGAAAAAAUAUUGCAAAAUUUUAUAUGCAAAUAAGCUGCUAUUCACAGGCAAGAAUGAAAUAAUAUUUUUGUUCACACAAAACCUUAAUAAGAACCACAAACUUUUAAAUAUGGACUUUAAUUUUAAAAAUUAAACAUAAAGAGAAUAAAAAUAUGACAAGAGACUAUGGUAAAUAAAUAAUUGGUAAACAUAUAGGUACAUCUAACAAGUAUUGACAAGGUAAAAUAACUAUAGGUGACUUAGGGACUAUUUUAAUUUGCAAAUAAAUAUAAAAUAUACCAAUGAGGUCCAACUGAACUCUUAGAUAACUAUUGUAUUGAAAGUGCGAGGGAACAAUUGGACGUAAAGGAAACUCAAAUAUUUCUAUAGUUGGUAAAAAUGGCUAAGAAAUUCAUUAAUAUUAGAAUCAAGUAUGUCUGCUAAAGUGUCACCAAAGAACAGAAGGACAAUCUGUAACUUACAAAAAAGUGGAAAGGAAAGGAGGGUCUGGACAGGGAUAAAUAAAAUCUUAAUUUGUGGAAGAAAACAGGAGAGGAGAAGAAAUAAGUGUCCUGUUUUGAUUUUUUCGUAGAAAACAGCAUUUUUGUUACAUGCACAUAAAUGAGUGAGAAGUUUUGUGUCACCAUCUGCUGACAUACCCAGGAGUUUAAAAAUUAAUGCAGUGAACACAGCAGCUGGCAGCACCUCCUUCUACGGCUUUUCCAGGCCCUUUGAGCGUCCCUUGCUUCCCUUCUACACUCUCUCGGUAACGUUAUUAGCAGGUUUGCUAAAAACAAACCCAUGAACCCUCGCAUGGUAAUGCCGGUGUUCACCAGGCCGCACGUUCUUGGCUGCCCCGUGGAAGACAGGAACACAGUCGGCUCCGAGUCUGUGACAGGGAAUCCCCUAGCACCAGGGUCUGGAUGAGGCCUCGCCAGGCUGACUGUGCUCAUAGACACUACUGCCUCCUACUGGUUACCGAGCGGCCAUACAAGUCAGUUUCCCCGCUGUGGAGGUGAAUGGCAAUGACACUCUCCCUAGAGGAUGGUUGUGAGGAAGUCACCAGCGCAGCUGGUGUUGUCGUUCAUUACUUAUCAGUCACACCCCCGAGCUCCAUAGAUGUAUUGCAAUAAAAAUAAAUAAUAACAACAAUUAAUAAAAUAACAAUGGUAGCAAUGAUUACUGUUAUAUUUUUAUGAUUAUUACAUGGUGUAUGUUAUGCUAAACUAUUCCCACAUGCAUGUUGGUUUGGAUGCUGAAGGUCCCCUAGAGUUAGAUGAGUUGAAGACUUGGUCCCAGGUGGCACAACUGGGAGGUGCUGUGGACUCUUGGGUGCUGGAGAGUAAUGGAAAAUCCUAAGGCCCAUUUCAAAGGGAAUUGUAGGAUCCUGGAUCCUUCCUGCCUCUGUUUGCUCUUGCCAUGAUGUGCUGCCUCAUCACAGGCCCAAAGUGAUGGAGCUCUCUGUGAGCAUCUAAAACUAUGGACCCAAAUAAACCUUUUCUCUUUUUAAGUUAAUUGCCUCAUGUAUUUUGUUAGAGUAACACAAAACUGAGUAUUAUACUGCAUAUUAACUAAUUCAUUAACUCAUCCUCCAAACAACCACUUUGAAUAGUAUUUAUUACAUCCCUGUUUUUUUUAAUAUUUAUUUUUUGGUUAG